GAAGCGGCAACAGCUCAAAUUUGAAAUCUGGCGCAAGCCCGAGUUGUAAUUUGUAGAGGAUGCUUCUAGGUAGCGACCGGUCUAAGUUCCUUGGAACAGGACGUCAUAGAGGGUGAGAAUCCCGUAUGUGACCGGCCCGCACCUUCUACGUAGCUCCUUCGACGAGUCGAGUUGUUUGGGAAUGCAGCUCUAAAUGGGAGGUAAAUUUCUUCUAAAGCUAAAUACCGGCCAGAGACCGAUAGCGCACAAGUAGAGUGAUCGAAAGAUGAAAAGCACUUUGGAAAGAGAGUUAAAAAGCACGUGAAAUUGUUGAAAGGGAAGCGCUUACAACCAGACUUCUGGGCGGUGUUCCGCCGGUCUUCUGACCGGUCUACUCACCGUCCCGAGGCCAACAUCAUCUGGGACCGCCGGAUAAGACCUUAGGAAUGUAGCUCCCCUCGGGGAGUGUUAUAGCCUGUGGUGAUGCGGCGCGUCUCGGGUGAGGUCCGCGCUUCGGCAAGGAUGUUGGCGUAAUGGUUGUCAGCGGCCCGUCUUGAAACACGGACCAAGGAGUCUAACAUCUAUGCGAGUGUUCGGGUGUCAAACCCCUACGCGUAAUGAAAGUGAACGGAGGUGGGAAGGGUAACCUGCACCAUCGACCGAUCCUGAUGUCCUCGGAUGGAUUUGAGUAAGAGCAUAGCUGUUGGGACCCGAAAGAUGGUGAACUAUGCCUGAAUAGGGUGAAGCCAGAGGAAACUCUGGUGGA
rnacentral:rRNA from 1 species